UUAAAUAUGUGGAAGCUUGGCGUGAAGAACUGAGAAGCUUUUAUAGAAGAGAGGGUCCAGGGGGUGCAUCAGUAGCAGCAAUAAUAAUGUCCAGCAAUCAAAAUAAUAAAGUUUGGCAAGUAGCACAGUUGUAUAAGUUGCAUUCCAAAAUUUUGGUGGAUCAAAGAUGUAUUGUUCCAACAGUUGGUGUUAGAUUCUCAGCAAUUGACAUGGCAGAUUAUAAACCUAGAAUGUAAACUAAUACCCUCACAAAUGAGGAGGAAAGACAAGGGGCUUUGAUGCAAUUGACGCUGCUCUAUAAAGGGAUAGUGAUUGCAUCGCCUGAUUAAUUUCCUAGAGACGUUCUUGCAUUUGUCCACGGGGAAACACUCCAAGAUGACAGGGUCA